CCUCUUCGCGCUUGUUUGGAUUGGAAAUAAGGGUGGAAUAAUCUCUUUAUCUUCUUUAUAUUCAAACAUUAAUUUUUUAUUUAAAAAUAAUAAUUUUCGAAUAUCUGAAAUAAGCUGGUAUAACUAUUCUCACCAACACCUUCAUUUUUUAUAUAUAACUAUCCACUAUUUUUCUUAUUUUAUAUUAUCUAUUCAAAUAAUAUUUUUCUUAUCCCCGUGAAUAACCUAAUUUUUAUCCAAACGCUAUUUUUCUUAUCCUCAUAUUUGUACUUAUCUCUAUAAUAACUAGUUCUUGCUUAUAUCCUAACCAAACGCUGCCGAAUUCAUGCCCCAAUUAAAUUAUUGAAAAUUUUGUCCUAUUGCCGACCUUCUCUAGAGCAAGUGGCAAAGGGCUUAGUGGGUGGUAUCCGAGGUUCCAAAUUUGAAUCCUACUUGAUUCACAUUUUCAGCUAAGUUUAUUUUUGCAUGAAAUAAAUGAAGCGGAUAGCGUGCCACCUAUCUCUCAAAAAAAAAAAAACUUUUUC
rnacentral:lncRNA from 1 species